ACCACCGAAGCAAUUCGAUCACGGCGUUGUUUCUUCUUCCACUCCUCCUGAUCCCCUCGCCUUGUUGAUCACCGACAUCUGUAGGCUGCUGAUACCGUGGGAGGCCGAUGCUGAGCCACAGCACCGUCGGCUUCGAGCAACCCAUCGCCGGUCAAAAGGAAGAGGAUCUGAACCCUAGAUUCGAUCCCUCAUUGCCUCACCUGGGUGCUGUGGUUUCGAGCAAUGGAGCUUCUGUUCCAGCUGAGAUUUUGUUGCCAUCUACACUGUCAUCAGCCACUUGUUACAAGAAAUGUUACUAGGCCGGUGGACCAUUGGAGAAGGGGUUAUUGACAUGGAAUUAAGGGUUGAUAUCAACAGGGCAAAGUGUGGCUAAGGGAUAGACUUCUGAUCGCUGUUUGCACAUCAGGGAUUUUAUUUCGAGGCGAGCGUCUCGACAUGGGAUUGGAUUGUUUGACGCGGUCGACAG